GACACGACUCUCGACAAUGGAUAUCUUGGCUCUUGCAUCGAUGAAGAGCGCAGCGAAAUGCGAUACGUGGUGCGAAUUGCAGAAUCCCGUGAACCAUCGAGUCUUUGAACGCAAGUUGCGCCCGAGGCCAGUUGGCCAAGGGCACGUCCGCCUGGGCGUCAAGC
rnacentral:rRNA from 1 species